CCUACGGGAGGCAGCAGUGAGGAAUAUUGGUCAAUGGACGAGAGCCUGAACCAGCCAAGUAGCGUGAAGGAUGACUGCCCUAUGGGUUGUAAACUUCUUUUAUAUGGGAAUAAAAUGUUCCACGUGUGGGAUUUUGUAUGUACCAUAUGAAUAAGGAUCGGCUAACGCCGUGCCAGCAGCCGCGGUAAUACGGAGGAUCCGAGCGUUAUCCGGAUUUAUUGGGUGUAAAGGGAGCGGAGGUGGUUUGUUAAGUCAGUUGUGAAAGUUUGGGGCUCAACCGUCAAAUUGCAGUUGAAACUGGCAGUCUUGAGUACAGUAGAGGUGGGCGGAAUUCGUGGUGUAGCGGUGAAAUGCUUAGAUAUCACGAAGAACACCGGUGGCGAAGGCGGUUCACUGGACUGCAACUGACGCUGAGGCUCGAAAGUGUGGGGAGCAAACAGGAUUAGAUACCCCUGUAGUC
rnacentral:rRNA from 1 species